GGCGGACGGGUGAGUAACGCGUGGGUAACCUGCCUCACAUUGGGGGAUACCAGUCGGAAACGACUGCUAAUACCGCAUAAGACCACGGCACCGCAUGGUGCUGUGGCCAAAACUCCGGUGAUGUGAGAUGGACCCGCGUCUGAUUAGCCAGUUGGCGGGGUAACGGCCCACCAAAGCGACGAUCAGUAGCCGGCCUGAGAGGGUGAACGGCCACAUUGGGACUGAGACACGGCCCAAACUCCUACGGGAGGCAGCAGUGGGGAAUAUUGCACAAUGGGCGCAAGCCUGAUGCAGCAACGCCGCGUGAGUGAAGAAGUAUUUCGGUAUGUAAAGCUCUAUCAGCAGGGAAGAAAGGCCCGAAAGGGAGAUGACGGUACCUGACUAAGAAGCCCCGGCUAACUACGUGCCAGCAGCCGCGGUAAUACGUAGGGAGCGAGCGUUGUCCGGAAUUACUGGGUGUAAAGGGUGCGUAGGCGGGGAUGCAAGUCAGAUGUGAAAUGUAUGGGCUCAACCCAUGAACUGCAUUUGAAACUGCAACUCUUGAGUGAGGUAGAGGUAAGCGGAAUUCCUAGUGUAGCGGUGAAAUGCGUAGAUAUUAGGAGGAACAUCGGUGGCGAAGGCGGCUUACUGGGCCUUUACUGACGCUGA
rnacentral:rRNA from 1 species